UACGGAGGGUGCGAGCGUUGUCCGGAAUCAUUGGGCGUAAAGGGCGCGUAGGUGGCCUGGCAAGCGUGCGGUGAAAGCUCGGGGCUCAACCCCGAGUCGGCCGUGCGAACUGCUAUGGCUCGAGCACUGUAGAGGCAGGCGGAAUUCCGGGUGUAGCGGUGGAAUGCGUAGAGAUCCGGAAGAACACCGGUGGCGAAGGCGGCCAACUGGACAGAUACUGACGCUGAGACUCGAAAGCGUGGGGAGCAAACAGG
rnacentral:rRNA from 1 species